ensembl:lncRNA
CUCUCUUUUAUCUUGCCUCCAUGCUCUAGUUAUUUUGUUCUGUCUAUGCACCUACUUGCACUGGACUGGCAAGAAAAAUGUCAUUCUGCCUAUCCAUUUUCUUCCACCAGUGUAUCUUAAAAGAAAAAAAAAGAAAAAACGUUGUUCUAUAAGUUUUAUUCCCUGGACUGGUUUAAAAAAAAAAAAGAAAGAAAAAAAGAAGACUUUUUUUAGCAGCCAUCUCAGCUGUACCAGAUGCAGAAUUACUCCCUCUUACACUCUGAUCCCACUUCUUUUAGUUUCAGUCUCUAAAAAGUUAUUCUACCUGGAAAUGUGAUGUGUUUUUUGUUAGCUACACAAAAUGGAAGCAGGAAAUGAGUUACAAGUCUUGGGUUAAUUAAGGAUCAGGUGGGUGCUAAGGCAGACAGACCAUUUUGUGGUAUGGGACCAAACUUCCAGUCAGGCAGAGGCAACAGUCGGCUGACAGCCAGACCAAUUUUAGUCUUGUUACGGAGCAUUGUACAUCUUCAUCCUGUGUUCCUUGUCUGUCAGAGUUUUUUCCCAUCUUUUUUUGUUUUUUUGCAUGGCCUUUCCGUUCGUGUUGCCAAGCUCCUGGCAGUAUUUUUACCUCCCAUUACUCCUUGUACUCCACCCCUCGCCACUUUUUUAUUUAUUUUAUCAACUAUCAUUUUGCCUUCUUAUCCCUAUAACUAAACAAAUGACAUUGCUUGAUGUUAUUUUAUUUUUUUUUAUUCUCCUUUGGCCACCUCAAGCUGAAAUUUCAGGAAAAAUGUCCCUCUAUUCUCACACCGCAACCCCUUACAAAAUUUCUGGAAAUCUGAGCGAGAAAAGCUCCAAAAUAUUAUAAAGGUUUUAUUUGUUUUGUUUUGUUUUUUUUGGGGGGGGAGGGUUUGUAUAUUCAGUCUCCAAAGGGGGGAUCAGUGUGAAUGGCCCAACCCAAGCUAACUUAUCGCCAAACCUCUGUAAUGGCUGGAAAUAACAGGAAAUCAGCAAAAUUGUGCAGUAGAAGUCCCCCUGGAGGAAAUUAUGGAUGGAUUUGGCUGUACGUGUAUGGACUCAACUGGAAAUAAGGCCCUGAGGCAUACUUUCUUUUUUUAAAACAAAGCGAUACACAGGUGCCUUUGCUACUGUUGGUAAAAGCACAUCACAGUCUGAACAUUCAAACUACCCUCAGUGGACCAUCUGCAAGUGUCUCUGAACUAUCUAUUUAUCAAUCUACCUAUCUAUCUGUUUAGUUUUGUCUUUUUCCUCCCCUUCUCUCCUGUUGUUGUUUUUUUUUUUAACUCUCAGUAUACCCAGCUGAAAAAAGAACAAUUCAAUCCUGGUUUAAAGUUUAAUUUUCUGAUGUGUUCCCUUAUGAUUUUAUUCUUGAUAAUAAAAAAGCAC